AAUGAACGCUGGCGGUAUGCCUAACACAUGCAAGUCGAACGGCAGCACCGUAAGAGCUUGCUCUUACGGGUGGCGAGUGGCGGACGGGUGAGGAAUACAUCGGAAUCUACUUUUUCGUGGGGGAUAACGUAGGGAAACUUACGCUAAUACCGCAUACGACCUACGUGUGAAGGCAGGGGAUCUUCGGACCUUGCGGGAUUGUAUGAGCCGAUGUCGGAUUCGCUAGAUGGCGGGGUAAAGGCGCAGCACGGCGACGAUCCGUAGCUGGUCUGAGAGGAAGAACAGACACACUGGAACUGAGACACGGUCCAGACUCCUACGGGAGGCAGCAGUGGGGAAUAUUGGACAAGGGGGGAAAGCCUGAUCCAGCCAUACCGCGUGGGGGAAGAAGGCCUUCGGGUUGUAAAGCCCUGUAGUUGGGAAAGAAAAGCAGCAGGUUAAUACCCCGCGGUUCUGACGGUACCCAAAGAAUAAGCACCGGCUAACUUCGUG
rnacentral:rRNA from 1 species